AUGCUUUCACCAAGGACCCGAUCAAGACCAUCAACGGAUGCACAGAAGCUUCUGGAUCUGCUCAGGCCCCUCUGUGUGGAAAAUAUCUUCAAUGUUCAGCAGAAAACACCUAGUCAUUGCCGGCAAUGCAGCCACGGAGGCCUCGCCGGGAGAUGCGGGCCCGGUUCUGGGUGGCAGCUCGUAUGCAUCUUAAAGGAAGUUUCUACUGAGCCGUGUCCCCUCCUCAAUGUCGUUCAGUCAUGCAACAAACACCUGUGCAGACAGAAGGAAACAGAGGUGGGUCAGACACCAGGGACGCUCAGCGGGAGGAGGCCGGUGAGCAAACGCAUCUCACAAUUUGGCAAACGAAGGCUGCAAGGUGCCUUCCAGGAAGUCUGGACUGUGGACUGAAGGGAGGAUGGUGGCAGGGUGGUCUGGAAGUGGCCAGGAGUAGCGGCGACCUCGGCCUGCCUCCAGGUUCUGCCUCUAUCUCGUGCCAUGGACUGCAGGCAGCCCUACUCAGCAGGACAGGCUGUGCUGAUGCUGGCUGUGCGGUCCAGUGGGCUCCGGGAUGGGCAGGAGGGAGAUGGGCAUGGCGAGGAAUGUGCAGAAACGGAUGAGGACGGGAGAGUCAUGGGUGACCUGGAGUCGGGAGAAUAGGCCUGAUGAGAUGUUUCAAGUGGUGUCAGGCUGGAGCCCUGUGGGAGGCGGGUGGGAAUGGGGAUACCCUUUUACCUCUGAUGAAGGGGCUAGGGCCCUUGGCCAGUCCCAGGGUGAAGGCCUGCCAUCGCACAGGGUUACUCAAGGUCUGGAUCCUGCAUCACGACAGCAGCCCACAUCCCACAAUAAACAAAGGUGGUGUUAUUAGGAGAGCUUGGCAUCCCUCGCGGGCUCCGUUUCCUGGGGUUUCACUCUGUGAGUGCAGGAGCUCUUCAAAUGUUUUGCCAAUUAGACUGAAAGACCCACGAGAGGGCAGACGCCAGGAAUCCCCAGGCAGGGACCUGCCCAGAGCCACAGGCCCAGCAGGAUGAGAAAUGCUGUGGGGGUGAGUUGGGCUGUGGGCUCAGGCCACUGCCAGAAAUAAGAGCAGUGAACAGAGGGCAGGCAACCCCAUGGAAGUGGGGGUUUGUGGCAACCCAGGGUGGUCACGCAGCCCAGGGGGGUCGUGGCAGCACCACACAUGAAGCCCAGGCUCCUUCCCUCCUGUUUCUCUGCCAUCCUCAACACACAGCUUCCAUCUGUGGCCAAGGUGGCUGCUCUUGCUCCGGCCACCACAUCUAUCCUCUGGCCAGCAGGGAGGGGAGAAUGGACCAGGGUGGCCAGCUCCUUCCUGUUAGCAACUUAGCCCAGAGGCUUCCCUCGUCCCAUCCCUCCAUCCUACUGGCCAUAUGUUGGUCCCAGGACUACCCUGCUGAAGGGUGGCUGGAAAACAGAGUCUUUAGCCAGACAGCCAGAAGCCCUCCAAAACUGGGGAAAAAAAUCGCAGGCUCUGCUACACUUAGCUGUUGUUAGUGAGGGAGGCGUCCAGGACGGGCCGAGAGGGCAGGCUGUUAGUGAGGGGGCAGGUGGGAGGUGAGUCUAGAAUGUUCUCUGACAGAGUGUCUGGCAGAGUGCCCCCCCUUCCUUGUCAGGCCUUUCCAAGGACCCUUCAGGGAGUGUCCUGGGGUGUCUGGGAGUUUCCAGGUACGGGAGGGACACCCUCCGAUUCUCACAGUCUAUGGAGGGAGCAGCCUCACCCACGUCUCAGCGAAAACCCUCCCUCUGCUCACCCCAGCCACACGGCUGGAACUCCAGCCCACUUCUGCUGCCUGUGAAGUGAGUGAGGGCGUGAGGGCUGAGGGCAGUGGGCAGCUGGAGGCUGGGCUGGGCAGGGGUGGAGGGGUCUGAGGGCCCUCGGGAGAAGGCAGCUUCCGGCCUCGUGGCGCUGGGACCAGGUGGCCUGAGCUAAGUGGGCUGUAGCUGCCGCCCCUCUCUCUGCACUCACCUGGGAGCUGGGGAACCUGGGGGCUGGUCCCUGGCGCUGACUUACCCAAUGCACUCGCUCUUGGGAGAAGAGAACCUGGGCCUCAGAGUGGUGCAGCAGCGGGACAGGAGAGAGGCAGGGGCUUGCUGCGGGGGCCAUGGGGACUCUCCCCUUUCCUGCCCCAGCCCAGCAGCUGCAGCAGCUGCUAGGGGCAGAGCUGGCGCUCAGAGCCCGCCUUCCCACAGAGCCCUCCAAUGAGAGGUCUUGCCCCUCCUCCCUGGGGGCGGGGUCUGGAGAGGGGCGGAGCCUUUCUCCCAACAAGGGAGUGAGAAAGAGGUGCCCAGUUUAGGAGCUGAAGCAGCUGAGUUCCAGGGCCUGACAGUCAACAGGACCCGGUAGCGAUGAGGCUGCAUUGGUCUGGGUGCACAGUCAGGCUGACAGCCCUGCGCGUGCGAAAGUCGACUCCUUUGGGUGAUGGAGGCUGUGGGCUGCCUUCUCCCUGCACUGGGAAGGGGCGAGGCUCCCAGCUACACCAGCUCUGUUGUGGGUUGGGGACACUGCCCCUUCCCGAGCCCAGUGCCUGUGGGACCUACAGUCCUCCCUGAGAAUCCUGCAGCCCUUGAGUGACCCCAGCCUGGAGAUCAAGGACCUUACCUUGGCACCCAGGCCUGGUAUGAGCUCUGACUUCAAAGUCUGAGCGCUCUACCCACCCGGGGCCACGCACUCUGUCACCCUAAGCGUUCUCCCACAGCCCCUGCUGUCCUGCAGAUGUCCUUGCAAACUCAAUUUUCCUUCUGUAUGCAAUUCUCUUGCACCUCUAUUCCAUCGGCAAACUCCUGUUAGUGCGUCAAGACAGAAUCCUGAUGUCUCCUCCUCCAGGAAGCUUUCCCUGGUUGCACUCACUCCCUGCCACCUCCUCUCCUACCCUCCACAUGCAGGGGUGGUUGUUGCCUCCCUAUAAGCAGCUGCCCUGGCCUUUCUAGGGGUGGCUCCCCACUGGGUUCAGUGCGGCUUGUCCUGUGCAGCCGGGCUGGUCCUCAGGAAAUUGAUGCUUCCCAUCACUCGCCUGUCUUCUUGGAACGA
rnacentral:lncRNA from 1 species